UACAGAGGGGGCAAGCGUUGUUCGGAAUUACUGGGCUUAAAGGGCGCGUAGGCGGCCUUCUAAGUCGAACGUGAAAUCCCCGGGCUCAACCCGGGAACUGCGUCCGAUACUGGAAGGCUUGAAUCCGGGAGAGGGAUGCGGAAUUCCAGGUGUAGCGGUGAAAUGCGUAGAUAUCUGGAGGAACACCGGUGGCGAAGGCGGCAUCCUGGACCGGUAUUGACGCUGAGGCGCGAAAGCCAGGGGAGCAAACGGG
rnacentral:rRNA from 1 species